CGCCGAACGAAGUUGAGAAACGCUAGCGAGUCAGUCGGAUUUUCGUGACGCCGCCCAACUGCUCUGCUACCGGCUGCGCUCAACAAAUAAUACGACCUUCUACACGUUGCACAUCUUGUCGACAUGUCGCUGGUGUUUGAGACAAAUUGGAAGUCACUGUUUGCUCACUCCUUGGUGCACAUAUUUCAUGUUCAACAUCGGGUAUCUUAAGGAGGCGGCAUGAAACCCUGGAGUUUGUUCAGAGGCACCUCAGUUAGGUAAACCCCAGCAAAUGCAGCAAGACAGUCUCAUG